rnacentral:rRNA from 1 species
AACAAGGUUUCCGUAGGUGAACCUGCGGAAGGAUCAUUACCGAGUGUAGGGUUCCUAGCGAGCCCAACCUCCCACCCGUGUUUACUGUACCUUAGUUGCUUCGGCGGGCCCGCCAUUCGUGGCCGCCGGGGGCUCUCAGCCCCGGGCCCGCGCCCGCCGGAGACACCACGAACUCUGUCUGAUCUAGUGAAGUCUGAGUUGAUUGUAUCGCAAUCAGUUAAAACUUUCAACAAUGGAUCUCUUGGUUCCGGCAUCGAUGAAGAACGCAGCGAAAUGCGAUAACUAGUGUGAAUUGCAGAAUUCCGUGAAUCAUCGAGUCUUUGAACGCACAUUGCGCCCCCUGGUAUUCCGGGGGGCAUGCCUGUCCGAGCGUCAUUGCUGCCCAUCAAGCACGGCUUGUGUGUUGGGUCGUCGUCCCCUCUCCGGGGGGGACGGGCCCCAAAGGCAGCGGCGGCACCGCGUCCGAUCCUCGAGCGUAUGGGGCUUUGUCACCCGCUCUGUAGGCCCGGCCGGCGCUUGCCGAACGCAAAUCAAUCUUUUUCCAGGUUGACCUCGGAUCAGGUAGGGAUACCCGCUGAACUUAAGCAUAUC